AUACGGAGGAUCCGAGCGUUAUCCGGAUUUAUUGGGUUUAAAGGGUGCGCAGGCGGCCAUUUAAGUCAGCGGUUAAAUCGUGGGGCUCAACCCCAUUCUGCCGUUGAUACUGGGUGGCUUGAUUGCGGUCGAGGUUGGCGGAAUUCGUUGUGUAGCGGUGAAAUGCAUAGAUAUGACGAAGAACACCGAUUGCGUAGGCAGCUGACCAGACCGCAAAUGACGCUCAUGCACGAAAGUGCGGUGAUCGAACAUGAUUAGAUACCCUGGUAGUCCGCACAGUAAACGAUGAAUACUUGUUUUCGGCGAUAUAAUGUCGGAGGCAAAGCGAAAGCGAUAAGUAUUCCACCUGGGGAGUACGCCGGCAACGGUGAAACUCAAUGGAAUUGACGGGG
rnacentral:rRNA from 1 species